GCCCGGAUGGCGGAAUUGGCAGACGCGCUAGCUUCAGGAGCUAGUGGCCGCAAGGUCGUACAGGUUCAAGUCCUGCUCCGGGCACAA
rnacentral:tRNA from 1 species